AUGAGGGAGCUGAAUUGUAAAAAAAUUUCCUGGCUAUGGGCAGCGUGCCGUUGGGAGACUUACAGGAGCGGCUAUAGGACUGGGGAAAAGCCUCUGGGGCCGUUUGCUGUGUGAGGGAGCGGAGCAGGGCGGUUCUGCCUGGGCAGCAAAGCUGACCCCAGGGCUCAGUCCUCUGUAAAAUGUUUUAAGUUUUGCAACAGAGGCGCUGUUUCCUCUUUUUGGCUGGGAGAGGGACUCCAUGCUGUACAGGCUGGUUGGAGUUUAUUUAGAGACAAGAAGGGUCCUGUUAGUCCUGUAGUCAUGGAUGGAGUAGCUGUGCUCCCUCAGAGUUUGGCCUAUAUGGGGAUAAGGCAGCAAAUACAUACAGAAGUGCCACUGUGCUUAAGAGCAGUUUCAUCUUAAAACUAUGCCAGCCCAACCUAGUUAUUACUGGAAGCAACAGCAGUCUGGCUUUUCUUUCUAUCCCCACCCUUGCCACCAUCUUCCCUGGUGCCAGCUUUGACCUUCGUUUUAUAGUAGAGUGAGCUGCUUCAGGGAGUUAAACCAGGAGAAACCCAUCCACUGCUCACUUCUGGUUUUCCUGAGUUUGUUUUCUGCCAGUUUGGUGCUUUGAAUCAGUUCACGGCAUGGUCAGCUGAGCAGCAGCACAGGGCAUUAGCACGAGCAAGGGGCUAUAGACUGAGAGAGGGUAGGAUCUCCUAGUUUGCGGACAGCUAUGUGUAUGUUCAUUGGCUUAGCUGUAAAGUGAAGCUGCACAGUACAGUAACUAUGGGGAAAGUUUUGGGUGGGCAGCAAUGUUCAAGUGACAGGGCAUCUGUUUGGAAAUGAGAGCAAACCUUUAUCUUGUGUCACAGAAACGAGGAAGAGAGGGAAGCUAAGGAUCUCACUUAAGGAUUAUUUAUUUUAUUAAUUAGCAGCUUUUGCGGGUUUACCCUGAGCCUUUCUUCUUCCCUUUCCCUCGUCUCUAAAGUUCUCUUUGUCUUGAAGCUUUGGACCAUGUUUUGAACCCUUGCUAUGCCUUGAGCAGGGCUUACUGUUUGUCAGGGCACCCAAAGAAGGUCAUUUAGCUUUGGGUGGAGGCUGAAUAUGCUGUUGUUUAAGUUUUCAGAGAGAACCCCCAGAUAAAUGAAUCCAGCUCUUUCAGCUGCUGCCAAUUCGUGGCAGAAGGGUUACAUAAACAUACUCUAAACCUCAAGGGUAUUAUAAAUAAAUCUUAUAAAAUAUUAACUUUUGUUAAUCUCUGAAUGAACCAAAGUGGUGCUAAACUGAUUUAAACCGUUAGUAAGAAAAGAAUAAACCAGGUGUCAUAAAAAACAAUAAUCCUGACCUCUUUCUCGGUGUGCUGACAUUUGUUUCUUAUUGUUCUGUACCUUUACUGUUCUCAUUAAAUUACAAUUUUUUUUCUUUAAACAAAUAUUCAUGUCAUGUAUAGUUACUGAAAAGCUUCUUCAAGUCGUAUUGAUUCUAGUAAGUUAGCCGUUCGUGUUGUCAGUGCAGUGGGAGUAAUGAUUUGGCUUAAUGUUUUAGUGAGUUUUUAACACUGUACAUGAAACUUUCAGCUUAAUAAGGGGUGUCUACAAAGUUUUUUGAAUGAUCUCAUUUUGUUGGAGAGCACAUUUCGUCACCUUUUUCAGUAUUGCUCUCAGAAGCUGAAAGACGAUUGCCUGUCUCUCUGAUGCGUACUUCUCGUUGAAGUAUUUUGUCCUGCUAACUCCAAAGAUAAAACUCUGAAAUCCUUGGGCAGGAAUCCUAGUGACAGCAAUGGCUGGUUUAGGUGGAGAUAAUUCAGUUAUUGCUCUAACCUGGAAUUUCUGGGAAAAAAAAAAAGGGGGUUGUGUCAGGAAAUACUGAUCAGUUAUGGCCAGUCCUUGUUAAAAGAACAUCCAGAUAUUAUUUGUCAAGAUAUAAAUGAGAAAAAGACCAUCAGCUGUCCCAUGAUAGCUAAACAGAGGCUGAAGUUUAGGAGGUCUAUGUAUAUUCAAGUGCUUGUACCAAAAAAGUCUUCAUAGAGAGGAGAAUGGGGGAAGAGAGAGACCUGCCUCAGAAUAUUCAAUGGCUGGAGGCUGAGGUCUGCAGUGGGAUAUGGGAGACUGGCAAUGUCUGUAGCAAUGAGAGCAGAAAUGUGAACAGUGAUCUGACAGGUCUGUUCUCUACGCUCAUGUGGGCAAGGUUAUAUUCUCCCUCUCUCAUCUUCCUCUUCUGAAUAAUCCUGGAUUCAUUCCAGUAUGAGAGUUAAGGAAAAAAUCUGUGUGUAGUAACAAUAGUGUUUCCUGUCCGUUUCCAUGCCACAGCAAACAGGCAUAUGCAGUUAUUUUUACCUGGACUACUAAAAAUAUUCAACCAAAAAUCUUUGUUUAAAGGAGUACACUACAAAAACAUGUCUAACUGUAGUUGUUCCACUCCUGGCCACAGAAUAAUACAUUAAUGCAUGUGGUAACAAGCACUGGGCCACUUUAAAACACAGUUUACCCUUUUUCUGUGGUUUAAAAAUCUAAGUCUUCAAUUACAAAGUAGACUGAAAGUUCCAAAAGGAUGCUGGAGUGAAGGAGUUUCAUCUUUGUUGCUGCCACCUUUGUUUAUUUUUUUGUAGUUUUGUCUGUAGAUAAAUGUGCUGGUUAACUUUCAUUUCUUUCUUGUUAACAUUGUGCUCUUCCAGUCCCCAGUUUCAAGCACAAAUAAAGGUUGAAUGCUAACUGGUGCUAUGCUAACAGCAGAGGGAAACAAAGGUCUCGGUGAUUUUUGGAGGAUGAGGACCACUGCAUGCUUCCUUGGCUGUGCACUGCAGGACGGAGCUGGAGUGACUGUUCUUCAGAGUGAAAGGCAGCAGCUCUUUUUUCCUUAUCCACCAACACCUUUGCCAACCGAGGGCAUGCUCCACUGCACUCAGUAGGAAUUGCUGCUCAUCUGAUAUUCUCAAGCCUCCCGUGGUUUUAUCUGAGAUAUGGGUUUACUCCGUGAAACGGAUGGACCUGUCAAUGCGCUUUACAUACGCUGUCAAGUAAAGGCCAGGUUACUGACCCUCUCUGACCAGGAACCUCUCCACAGCUGUGCCACUUUCUCUGAAUGCACAAACAGGCAGAAGCAGAACUUGGGGCCAGAUUUUCAAGGGCAUAGCGCAUCCUAACUGACCAGCUUCCACUCUGACAUCAAAAUAAGACCUUGAGAAUUAAAAAGCCUUCGCUGCUAGCACUCGGAAGGAGGGAAGGUGAAUAAUGGGGAACUGCAUCACUAGGACUUGUCCCUGACAUGUCUGGAAAGAAAUGACAGAAGAUACAGCAAGGAACUUGCAAGAGGGAGCACUGUUGAGUAAUUGAAGCACAAGGCUGGCAGCUUCGCUUCUGAAGUCCUGUCACUGAGUUCCUGCUGCAACACAUGUACUGCCUGUGACAGUCGCAUCUGAGAGUGGCUGGCACUUCAUAGUCCCUGGGCCAAGUAAUUUUAACUGGCUUGCAUCUUUUAGCGUUCACAUCUCAAGGCCUUUUGGGUCAUCAUUACGCAUCAUGACUGCAUCCACAGGCCUGUUUCCAUCUUUGCUACCUGGGAUGGAGGAGAUGAGACUGGCAGCACUCGGUGUGGCUGGGAAGUUUCAGCCAGCAAUUACUGCAAUUGGGUGGCAUUUCAAUAGCUGGUCUCCAGCAAACUCCUAUGAUGAGUCACAGCAUCGGCAAAACAUGGCAAGUGUGGUGGUGAAAUGUCAU